AGGACGAACGCUGGCGGCGUGCUUAACACAUGCAAGUCGAACGAUGAAGCCCUUCGGGGUGGAUUAGUGGCGAACGGGUGAGUAACACGUGGGCAAUCUGCCCUUCACUCUGGGACAAGCCCUGGAAAACGGGGUCUAAUACCGGAUAACACUCUGUCCUGCAUGGGACGGGGUUGAAAGCUCCGGCGGUGAAGGAUGAGCCCGCGGCCUAUCAGCUUGUUGGUGGGGUGAUGGCCUACCAAGGCGACGACGGGUA
rnacentral:rRNA from 1 species